UAGACCGAUAGCGAACAAGUAGAGUGAUCGAAAGAUGAAAAGCACUUUGAAAAGAGAGUUAAACAGCACGUGAAAUUGUUGAAAGGGAAGCGCUUGCGACCAGACUCGGCCUCGGGGUUCAGCCAGCAUUCGUGCUGGUGUACUUCCCCGGGGCCGGGCCAGCGUCGGUUCGGGCGGCCGGUCAAAGGCCCCAGGAAUGUAUCGUCCUCCGGGACGUCUUAUAGCCUGGGGUGCAAUGCGGCCAGCCUGGACCGAGGAACGCGCUUCGGCACGGACGCUGGCGUAAUGGUUGCAAACGACCCGUCUUGAAACACGGACCAAGA
rnacentral:rRNA from 1 species